rnacentral:rRNA from 1 species
AGAGCGAACGCUGGCGGCAGGCUUAACACAUGCAAGUCGAGCGGGCGUAGCAAUACGUCAGCGGCAGACGGGUGAGUAACGCGUGGGAACAUACCUUUUGGUUCGGAACAACACAGGGAAACUUGUGCUAAUACCGGAUAAGCCCUUACGGGGAAAGAUUUAUCGCCGAAAGAUUGGCCCGCGUCUGAUUAGCUAGCUGGUGAGGUAACGGCUCACCAAGGCGACGAUCAGUAGCUGGUCUGAGAGGAUGAUCAGCCACAUUGGGACUGAGACACGGCCCAAACUCCUACGGGAGGCAGCAGUGGGGAAUAUUGGACAAUGGGCGCAAGCCUGACACAGCGACACCGCGUGAACGAAGAAGCUCUUUGGAGUGUAAAGUUCUGUCGGCUGGAACGAAAACAUGACGGUACCAGCAAAGGAAGCAUCGGCUAACUACGUGCCAGCAGCCGC